rnacentral:tRNA from 2 species
GGUAGUGUGGCCGAGCGGUCUAAGGCGCUGGAAUAAGGCUCCAGUCUCUUCGGGGGCGUGGGUUCGAAUCCCACCGAUGCCA